rnacentral:lncRNA from 1 species
GAAAAAGAGAGAAGAAAUUGAAAAUUAUGACAGUGGGUUUGGAGUUUCUCCUGUAAGUGAUUGGGAGCCAUUGAAGGAUUACAAGUAGUUGAAUAAAUCAAAAUAGUUUUUGAGAAGGAAGUUUCCCUGGAAGAAUGAUGCAUGAGUGUAAGUGAAUGAGAAUAACAUUUACAGGAAAUCUUAGAGUGAGAGGACAUAAUUUUCUCCUUCCAAUAUCUCCUUCUGGCUGACUAAGAUAAAAUGGAUAAAUGGCAACGUGCACCAUUUCUUGAGAAGAGAAGCUGUUUCUUUCUCUUCUAUACACCGGCAUCGCCUGACCCACAGUAGGUAUGAAAUAAAUAUUUGCUGGAUGAAUAAAUAUUUGAAUAAAUUUCAGUUUGGUCUGUGAGAAAAUCAAAAUAGCAAAUAAGAGCAGAAUGUUCUGUAUUACUGGUAGCUGUGGCUAAAAACAAAAUUCCACCUUUCUUCUUCCAAAAUUCCUGAGAGCUACUGGGUUGUCACUGUCAAGGCUUAUGUUGCUAUGAAAAUAUGCUUUGCUGGCUUUAUGUUUCUGCCUAUCACCCCUGCCUCCUGUCUCUUAUGGCAUGCAGCAAAUUCAUGGCUUUGACCUUAAGCAGGGUUUAGUUGGGUUUAUAAGAGUACAAAAGCAGAGAGAAAAGGGAGAGAGAGGAGAGGAGAGAGAAGAGGGGAGAAGAGAGGAAGGAGAGGGGAGGAGAAUAGAGUGGAGGAGAGGGAAAGAGAAGGGAGGGAAUGGGAGAGGAGGAGAGGGAAUGAUGCCUGGUACACACUAAUUUUUUUAAAUGCCAACAGACACGGUACCUUUCGUUCUUCCCUCCUCC